AUCUUUCAAGUUAUCUAAAAUUUUCAGUGGUUAAAAUAAAUCUUGCAACACAGAAUUUGUGAGUUUGUGCUUUGUUUUAUGUCAGGACGUAUUUCUAGCAGGAGUUGGAACAAGCUCCACUACAUUGGUAUGGGCGAUGACCGAACUGAUCAGAAACCCGAGAGUGAUGAAGAAAGUGCAAGACGAGAUUCGGACAACAGUUGGGGAUAAAAAGGAGAGAAUCACAGAAGAAGAUCUAAACCAACUUCACUACUUCAAGCUUGUGGUCAAGGAGACAUUCAGGUUACAUCCAGCAGCUCCACUUUUGCUCCCAAGAGAGACAUUGUCUCAUGUCAAGAUCCAAGGCUACGAUAUUCCUGCGAAAACACAGAUCAUGAUCAACGCUUACGCGAUUGCACGUGAUCCAAAACUAUGGACAAACCCUGAUGAGUUUAACCCUGAUAGGUUCCUUGACAGCUCCAUAGAUUACAGAGGACUGAACUUUGAGCUUUUACCGUUUGGAUCUGGUAGGAGGAUAUGUCCAGGGAUGACAAUGGGGAUCGCCAUUGUUGAAUUGGGAUUAUUGAAUUUUCUUUACUUCUUCGAUUGGGGGCUGCCGGAGAAAGAAGAAGCCAAGGAGAUCAUCACCGGAAAUGAAGUUGCUCUUGACCUUUUUCAAGUUUUUCUCCACUGAAUAUAUGGUUUGGUUAUGGAAUGUUUGUACUAUACACUAAGCUUGAUUCUAAAUCAAUAACACUAAAGAUAGUAGACACUAUGGUUAAUCUUCCAUUAUUAUAAAGGGUCGUUCUGAAAUGUGUCUAAUUAACUUAACUGUAUUUUUGAAACAUAGUAAAAUUGGUAUUUGAUAAGAUUUCGUUGUACAGAAUUGUUUCUAAAACUGAUAUAAAACAUAGAGUUUCCCAAUCAUUCUUUUAGAAGAAAUUUGUUGUUUUAAAAGUUUAGAUAAUAGGAAAAAUAGUUCCUCAAAUAACAUUGCUAAAUUCAGUUUCGAUGGAUAGUCAGCUUUCUAUCAAGAUUCUGCAAAGUAAACAAAACUUGCGUUUUGUUUCAAAGCAAAGAGUAUGAAACUGUUUUUAAAACGUCGAUAUAUCGAAUAUACUACGAUGUUCAAAUCAAAAUAAAAAGCACAUGAUUAAUUUCCAGUAAAAUUUUUUUAACAAAAAUGGAGUUCCAUAGUUGGUGACCUAACUUGUUGUUUGGUUUUGAGGAUGGAAGUGUUUUACCAUUGUGGUGCUUUCUCGGUUUGGUGUUUUACAUUUAUUAUAACAAGUUAGGUCACCAAAUUAUUAUAAUAAAUGUUCUAAUAAUCAUUUACGCAUUUAGCCGUCGCAAAAAAAAAAAAAACAAAAAAAAAAAUACCAUUUACGCGCGUGUGAGUGUGUGACAUUGUAUUGAAUAAUCUUCAAAUUCAUACUAUAAAUAACGUCUUCAAGGGCCGCUAAUAGUCAUCAGUAUCACUUCCAAGUCCAAGAAAAAAGUUUUUUUAACAAAAAAUGGCGAUCUUGAUCUAUAUGUCCUGGGUUUUGUUGCUUACCCUCAUUUCUAUUAUUUUUCUAAAGAAGAAGAAAAACCCUAACUCUAAUCUUCGACUUCCUCCGGGCCCUCGGGGUCUUCCGAUCAUCGGAAACUUGCACCGUCUCAACGGACUUCCUCACAGGUGGUUUCAUCAGCUGUCAGCCAUAUACGGACCCGUGAUGUUCCUUCGUCUAGGGUUUACGCCAGUUGUUGUGAUCUCCUCAAGCGAAGCAGCUGAAGAAGUUCUCAAAACCAAAGAUAUUGAGACAUGUAGUCGAACAAAGUUGAUGGCGACGGGUAAACUCUCGUACAACUUUAAAGACAUCACUUUUGCACCCUACACUGAUUCAUGGAGAGAAUAUCGUAAAGUCGCGGUGAUGGAGUUUUUGAACCCUAAAAAGCUUCAAACUUUAAAGUUGAUAAGAGAGGAAGAGAUGGAUUUCGUGGUGAAGAAGAUAUCCAAUUCGGCUCCCGUGGCCGUGGAUCUAAGCAAGAUCUCUUUCUGCCUCGCGGCCAACAUCUUAUGCAGAACAGCGUUUGGACAAAACUUGCGCACGAACAAGGUUUUCGACGAGGAGAGAAUCGUAAAGCUUGUUGAAGAAGGCUCGAUCGGUAGCCUCAGGUUGUCUUGGUUUCAAUGAUUUCUUUCCUGGUAAAUUAGCAAAGUUUGCAGAUUGGUUGUUCCGAAGAAACAAGGGGAUACUAGAGAAAAUGUUUAAGGAGCUUGAUGAGUUUUACCAACAUGUGAUUGAUGAUCACUUGAAGUCAUUAGAUGGACCGAAAAGUACCGAUCCUUCUGCGGAUAUCGUUGCCGGGCUGCUGAAUAUGGUUGAUAAAAAUGGAACUGGCAAUUUGGAUCACGUCAAAGGAACACUCAUGGUAAUUAAAACCUUAAUUCUAUCAUCAUUCAAUAGUAUUUCUUUAUCCUUUUUUUUUUGGACCACAUGUUUUUUUCUUAUAACUAUAUGUAAAUUUAGCUACUCUACAUAUACAUGUGUUAAAUCUGUGUGUUGAUCAUGCAGGAUCUUUUUCUAGGAGGGAUAGAUACAGUGGCAAUAAUUAUAGUGUGGGCAAUGUCAGAACUCAUGAGAAACCCAAGAGUGAUGAAGAAAGCACAAGAAGAGAUUCGAGCUGUCCUGGAAGUAAAAGAGAGAAAAUCACUGAAGAAGACGUAGAUAAAGUUGAAUACUUGAAGCUCGUGAUGAAGGAAACAUUCAGAUUGCAUCCAGCAGUUCCAAGUAUACCUAGAGAAACAAUGUCUCAUCAAAUAAAGAUCCAAGGCUAUGAUAUCCCUCCAAACACGCGGAUCCAACUCAACGUAUGGGCGAUUGGACGAGACCCCAAGAUUUGGAAAAACCCUGAAGAAUUCAUUCCUGAGCGGUUCAUUGAUAGUGCUAUCCACUACAAGGGACAAAACUAUGAGUUGUUACCCUUUGGUUCUGGUCGGAGAAUCUGUCCCGCGAUGCCAAUGGCCAGCAAUAUAGUAGAAUUGGGGCUCUUGAAUAUGCUUUACUUCUUUGAUUGGAAGUUACCUGAUGGGAUGGUCGGCGAAGACAUUGAUAUGGAAGAUGCUUUCUUGAUCUCCUUUUACAAGAAAGCACCUCUCAUUCUUGUUCCCGUUAAACACCACCAUUAAUGGGAUCGUCACAAACAGUCGUCAUUUUAAUGUUUGAAAGCUUCAACACCGUUGAUGCUUAGCUUGUUUGCUUGCUGUAUUUGUAUCGAUUUUAGCAAAUAAUAAGUUGCACUACUUGGUUAACUACUUAUUCUAUUUCUUAUUAUGUGAAAGAUUUACUUCUACAAUGUUAAAAGGAACUCAAUCCUCAGUAUUCACCCAAUAUAGAAGAAUAUUUGGUUUUUGUUGUGAUGGAGGUUUUAAAAAAAAAAAAAAAUAGGAAUGUGAAUAUAUAUCAUUAAAAUGAAGACUACAUGCAACAUGCCAACACGUAAGAGCAUCUCCAAUGGAUGCAUUAUCAGGUUCUCUUUGUAGGUUCUCUUGAAAUUUUUUUUGAAAAAUAAAUCAAAACUGUGAAUUAAGAAGAGAGCUGUCUCUCUUGAGAGAAAUCUUGAAUACCAUGAGAGCCGACGACGUGGCCUUAUCUCAGCCGUCGAUUGAUUUUGAUCAAAAAAAAAAACGCGUAAAAAAAAAAAAUGAGAGUAGCCGAAAUAUAUCAUUUCCCGACUCUUCUCUCUGUUUCUUUGCGAAGGCGAUGGCGAUGCCUUUUCUCCGACGAUUGAGGUUACGAUUAAGGCCGCCGGCGACGAUUGAGGGAAGAUGGAGAGGCCGCAGGUGGAUUAAUUAAGGUCGGAAACGUUAUAGAUCAGAGAUUUUCGUUUCUGAUACGUUAUCGAUUUCCGGAAUCCUUUCUAAUGAAUUGAUUUCAAAUUUGUAUUUUUGGUAGAAAUUUCGUUGUUAAGGAUCUCUCUUUCUUGUUACUUGAGAUGUUCUUCGAUGGCUUAGUUCUUGGUUUGAAACUCAUUAGUUCUUGGCUGAGCAAUUGUUUUAUGGCUUGCAACUUAAGGAACAGAGACCAAUGAAGUAAUUAGAGUUCUUUGGAAUAUGUUUUAAAUGGUAGUCAAGGAUGGAAGGAAGUUCGGUUUGAUUUCAAUUUGAAGAUGUAUGAAGUCUUGGAGAAGUCAUCUUUAUACUGAAACUUGCAAGGUUUGCAGGCAAAGGCUUGCUUUUUCAUGUUUAUAAUGAUGGCUUCUAUUGCAGGAGAACGUAAUGCCAACUCUUACCAUGACUUUGCAACCUAUUACUUUCCUUAUGGUAGAACUUAUGUUAAUUUCAAACUUUGAAGACAGUAAAUGCUGGUGGGCAGCCAAAAUCUGAAUCAUAUGACUUAAAGAAAUUCCAUGUUGGAGAUAUGAUUAUUGGGAGAAUCAAACGUGUGGAGCCCUAUGGCUUAUUCAUUGACAUUGAUCAAACUGGCAUGGUAAUGAUCUAGUUUCAUGCUGCAAGGUAAUUCCUUUUCCUUUUAGUCCGAAGUGAGUGUGGUUAAGAUUUGCUGCAAGAUUUGUUGUCACUUUCUUGUACUAAGCUCUCAUUGUAAUACACAAAAUAUCUCUUUGUCAGGUGAAAAAGAAGACUAUAGCUGCAAGACGGAGUCAAGUGAAAAUGAUUAUAUUCCCGGAGGCUAACCGGAAAGAUUUUGAUGAGCUGGCGGAAAACGUGAAAGAAGUGCUUGAUGGAAACAAGAGGUAUAUGAUGCUGAUCUACUAAAGAGUUCUUUAUUGUUGUUGUUGUUACAAGAAUUAAAAACUCUUAUCUGUGAUGAUUGGCUAUGUUUGCAGAAAUGUUGAGGCUAUCUUUUAGACUUAAAAACUCUUAUGUGUGAUGAUUUUUUUCAGGGAUUGUCAUUUUGGGUCUCACACAUAAAAACUAUAGAAAGUAAAGCAAUAGUGUAGUAUGUGUGUGCUUUGUCUAAUCAAAGACCGAUCAAUGAUAUGUCUGUUCAAUUUUACACAUUGAAGAUGGAGAAGUAGCAGCACACAGCAAGAAUCGUUUGACAUGGCAACAUGGUCCUUUGUGGUACUCACUGCUUCUCCUCAACUUCACGGCCAUUAUCACUAUUCUCUUUGAUACCUUUGUGGUACUCACUGCUUCUGCUAAGUCUUCUUCCUUCCUCCUCCAAUGAUGAUACUGUUGACUACAGCUAUUCUGCUAUAUAAAACACUUUCUACAUUCCACUUGCAUUUGUAUUGCCCCUUGUACUGUCAACACUCCAUUUAUAUGUGAUGCAUUUGUAGCGAAAAACUUUGUGUUUUACGAGUUUGCUACUUCUGGUGUGUAAAAUAUAUGAUAUUAGUGAUGAAUUUUUCUUUAUUUUCUUUUCAUAUUGCUAUAUAUCACACAAACUAGCACAAAACAUUACAUCAACCACAAAACCAUGACUUGAAUCCAUAUCUUUUUUUUCUCUACAUAACCAAAACACAAAAAUUUGAUGAAGUGUGUUUAUCAAGACUUAAUUAAACACCAAACUUCACUUGUCUCUUCUUUAUCCUUCUUUUCAAAAAUUCAAAACACCAAAUCCUAUGUUUUUAUAUAUUUAUUUUCAAUUUUGCAAUAAUAUUUUUCAGAUUUAUGAAAUAAAAUAAUUAAAAAAAUAAUUUAAUUUUUUUCUGAGAACUCCACAAAGAGAGCCUACCAUUGGACUUUGCAAGAUUAACAAAAGCUCUCAUCUCAUAAAUUUGAAUAUUUUAAUCUUAAAAAAAUGGUGAGAGCCCAUGGAAGGCCCAUGGAGGGCUCUCACCAUUGGAGAUGCUCUAAGAGUUUGGAAUAUUUUAUAAAUACCGACAACAACCCAUGAGCUCAUGAAUCAAGUUGACCGUAACGAACAUUUAUAAAAACACCCCAAGUUGUUUAUUUUUUUAAGAGAAACAAUUUGGAGUAAUAUAUCUAAAUUAAUUGCUAAGCUCCAGCUCUUCAACUAAAAUACAAAACCCAAGAGUUAGAAAGAGAUCAAAAAAUGGUAUUCUUCCUCUGUUUCCUCUUCCUCUUACCCCUUAUCUUUAUCUUCUUGAAAAUUUUCAAACCUUCGAAAUAUAAAUGGAAGCUUCCUCCGGGCCCACCAAAGCUUCCAAUCAUCGGAAACUUACACCAACUCCAAGAACUACCUCCCAGGAAUCUCUCCCACAAAUACGGGCCAGUGAUGCUUCUUCGUUUCGGAUUCGUCCCCGUGGUCGUGAUCUCAUCUAAAGAAGCAGCAGAGGAAGUUCUCAAGAUCCAUGAUCUUGAAUGUUGUAGCCGACCAGAGACGGCCGGGACUAGAAAGAUCUCUUACAACUUUAAAGACAUCGGAUUCGCGCCUUACGGUGAGGAAUGGAAGGCCAUGCGAAAGCUCUCGGUGGUCGAACUCUUCAACGCGAAAAAACAUCAGUAUUUUAGGUCAAUCAGAGAGGAAGAGAAUGACUUGUUGGUCAAGACACUAACAGAAUUGGCUCUGACACGAUCCCCAGUGAAUUUGAAGAAGACCCUUUUCACUUUAGUCGGGAGUAUCGUGUGUAGGAUCGGAUUCGGGCUAAAUCUUCAUGAGUGUGAGUUCAUCGAUGAAGAUAGCAUCUCUGAUCUUGUUGACAAGUCAGAGAUACUUGAGAUGACUUCUAUGUUCUCUGAUUUCUUUCCCGGAGGAAUCGGUAGAUUCAUCGAUUGGAUCUCCGGUCAAAACAAGCGGUUCAAUAAUGUUUUCUCGGACCUGGACACUUUCUUUGAGAACAUUCUUAAUGAUCAUCUUAAGCCUGGAAUAGUAGAGAGCUCUGAUAUUAUCGACGGGAUGAUCAACAUGAUGAAGAAGCAAGAGAGAGAUGGAGACUCUUUCAAGCUCACGACGGAUCAUCUCAAAGGGAUGAUCUCGGUAAUGUUUUGGACCCUUUUAGUUGUAUAGACUAAUCUUCCAUUUUUGAUUAAAUUCGUAUUAACACACUUUGUAUUAUGUCAGGACAUAUUUAUAGCUGGAGUUAGCACAAGCGCCUCCACACUGAUAUGGGCGAUAACCGAGUUAGUAAGAAACCCUAAAGUGAUGAAGAAAGUGCAAGACGAGAUUAGGACAACACUCGGAGACAAAAAGGAGAGAAUCACAGAGCAAGAUCUCACCAAGCUUCAUUACUUCAAGCUGGUGGUCAAAGAGAUAUUCAGAUUACACCCAGCAGUUCCAUUUUUGCUACCAAGAGAGACAUUGUCUCAUGUCAAGAUUCAAGGCUACGACAUUCCCGCCAAAACCCAGAUCAUGAUCAAUGUCUACGCGAUUGCUCGCGAUCCAGAACUCUGGAUAAACCCAGAUGAGUUUAACCCUGACAGGUUUCUAGAUAGUUCCAUAGAUUACAAAGGACUAAAUUUUGAACUGUUACCGUUUGGGUCUGGUAGGAGAAUCUGUCCAGGGAUGACAAUGGGAAUCACACUUGUUGAGUUGGCAUUAUUGAAUUUGCUUUACUUCUUUGAUUGGGGUUUGCCGGAGAAGGAAGAAGUCGACAAGAUCAUCACCGACAAUGAAGUUGCUCUUGGCCUAGUUCAAGUUCUUCUCCACUGAAAAUCUGAUAGAUGUUUUUUUUUUUUUUUGGUUUGUAACAUAUUUUUUUUGUAUUUGGUUAUUGAAUGUUUGUGUUACAUUAACCUUGCUUUCCGUCAGAGACAUUCUGUUUAAGUAACCCUAAUUGACAUGACUAAAGGACCAAAUGUUGUCAUAGCUAGGCUUAGCUAUCCUAUGAAAAAAAAAUGUUCCAAUAUAAUUCAAAGCCUAGAAACUUAAUAACCCAAACCAGCCGAAAAGUUUGAACUGAACCGGAAUUUUUUUCCGAAUGUUCAAUUCUACUACGUAGAGUGGUACAAUAGUAUAAUGACUUUUUCUACGAGAGAGGAAGACAUAAAGCCAGGGUAAUUAAUACAUGCAAUAUGGAACUCGGAGUUUGAUUCGUCAUUUCAAAGCAAAACACACUGUUUUGUUUUGUAACUUUGUUUAACUUUAAGAGUGUUACCUAAUUUCUACUUCUCCCGAACAAUGUAAAUUUUAUCACAAAUUAAAUAUGUAUAGACCAGGAUAAAAGUAAAAGUUCAUGUAGAAAAAAAAAAAAAGUUCAUGUAGAAAUAUUCACAUAAUAGUUCAUCGAGGGAAGGAUCGUUUUCCUGUUUUUUUUUUUUUUUUUACUUGUAAUGAUUGUUAAUGUAAUAAAAACGGGUUCCUUCAACAUCUAAUUAGUAAGAGCAUCUUCAUUAGACAAUUCUUGAUGGUGUCUUUAGUAUAAAUUAGUAAUAAAAUUAAAGACAUUUCCUUUUUUGGGUAUGUAAAAUGUCUCUAGGAAGACACAAAUCUAUAAUUAAAGACACUCUUUACUUUGUUUUUAUAUUUUUAUUAAUUUUAUAUUUAAAAACACUCACAAAUAAAUGACUAAUGUGGGUGCUCUAAAGAUAGUCAGCUUUAAAAUAGUCGACUUGAUUAACUUGCAGUUUGCACUAUUGAAAUUAAAGAAAAUGUUGACAAAUUCUUAAUUGUACAACAAGAGGUAUAUAUUUUAUAUAGUUGGUAAAAUAUUCAAGAUCACAACUACAGGGUCAUUAAUGUUGUGUGUGUCUAUCAAUUGUGGACACCCAGAGAUGUCUGUGGCGGCGAAAGAGGGCGAUACUAGGGUUUUGAGUGUGGGGGACCAAGAUGCGACCAUGGAGGAUAUUGGGGACAAAGGAAGGCCACCGGAUCCCUCAGGAUCGUGGGUGGGUAAGGUGAAAGGUAGCAGCGUGAGUGGGAGACUGAUUCCGGAGGAGGUUUUGGAUGAUGGGUUUGUAACGGAGAGAUUGCGCUUGGAGUUCCCAGAUGGGGAAGAUGGGGAACCAGUAAUCACGAUAGGGAAGGAAGUUUUGGAUGUUAUGAAUGGGUUGUGGAAGAGGUGCAUGAUAGUCAAAGUUUUGGGAAGGAAGGUAUCAAUUGCGGUUUUGAACCGAAAGCUACGUGAGUUGUGGAAUCCGAAAGGAGGGAUGUAUGUCAUGGAUUUACCAAGACAAUUCUUUAUGAUCAGGUUUGCAGAAGAUGAGGACCAUAUGACAGCUUUGACGGGGGGGCCAUGGAGGGCGUUCGGAAGUUAUCUUAUGGUCAAGGCUUGGUCGCCGGAAUUUGAUCCCCUUCGAGAUGAGAUCACAACAACGCCGGUGUGGGUUCGGAUAUCUAACUUACCGGUGAAUUUCUAUCAUCGAUCAAUUCUCAUGGGGAUUGCAAAGGGAUUGGGUAAUCCGAUUAAAGCUGAUGCAACGACACUAAAUUUUGAAAGGGCGAGAUUUGCUAGAGUUUGUGUAGAGGUCAAUCUUAAGAAGCCGCUCAAAGGAACAGUGAUGAUAAAUGGGGAGAGGUACUAUGUUGCGUAUGAAGGCCUGAGUAAUAUCUGUUCAUUAUGUGGUUUGUACGGGCAUUUGGUUCAUGCAUGUCCAACGGUGGCAAAGGAGAAAGUUGCUGUCACGCCGACACAAGAUUUAGCUGUUGUUGCCAGUACGAGUGGAAGUGUUCAGUUGGAUGAUGGCUUCACGCCGGUGCGUCAAUGGAGAAGGAAACCAGAAUUUCAGAGGAAAACAGUGUCUCCGGCGGUGAAAGGAGGCGGAGGAGAGCGGGGUAAUAAUUCUCGGGAUUCUGGUGACAUGAUCGGAGAUACGGGGAAUAUUCGGGUAUCGAAUAAAUUUGGAAUGUUGGAGGAGAAUAUGGAAUCCCUGGAGUUAAGGGAGGGAGUUAUGAGGAAUGAUGCGAAUAAGGAAAACGAAAAUACGACAAAUCAGGUUCAAAUCGGGCAGAGUGGCGCGCAAGCUAAGUUGGUGUUUGGUGGUAAUAUGGAGAAGGCCCGUUUAGGGCCCACUGAAGGAUUUAAAGAAAAAAGGAGGGGAGGUCUUAAGGGGCUGGAUACGAAUGUGGUUAGGCCCAAACAGGCAAGAGUAGUAAAGCCCAUGAGGGGAUUGGUGUUUGGCCCAUCAAAGGAGGAGAAGGUAAUGUUAAUGAGUGGAAAGCGUUUAAGAGUUGAGAAGGCGAACGUUGGGCGACCUGGUGGGUACUUUGCUACUAGGAUGAUUGAUAGCAGAAAUGAUGGGGUCUUGGAACAGGCUGGGAAAGCUGUGAUUCCUGGAAAUGAUGUUGAAUCGGGUGGUGGUCCGACGAACACAGAGAUGGUUAUACACAGAGAUCCUUUGGUGGAGGACACGGGAACUCAUGGUGUAUAACAAUUUGCCCCGGCUUUUCUAUUUGAGAUUAAUAAAUUAAUGAUGAAUUGCAUCAUGUGGAAUUGCCGGGGGGCGAAUAAACCCAACUUCAGACGAUCAAUUCGAUAUCUACUGAAGAAAUUCAAUACGGAUAUACUCGCAGUGUUUGAAACUCACGCUGGUGGUGAUAGAGCUGGCCGUAUCUGUCAGGGUUUGGGGUUUGAAAACAACUUUCGGGUAGACGCAGUUGGUCAAAGCGGAGGGUUGUGGAUAUUGUGGAGGUCGGGAAUAGGAGAUGUUGAGGUGGUUGAUUCAUCGGAGCAGUUCAUACAUGUCAAGGUUGGGAAUGAAACAGAGACAUUGGAUUUAAUUGUUGUGUAUGCGGCGCCAAGUGUUAGUCGUCGGAGUGGUCUAUGGGGACAGUUGGGAGAUGUGAUUAGAGGUGUUAAUGGACCAGUUAUAGUUGGCGGGGAUUUUAAUACGAUUGUCCGAAUUGGCGAGAGAACUGGUGGCAAUGGCCUCUUGUCACCAGAUUCUUUAGCUUUUGGAGAGUGGAUUAAUGAGCUUUCCCUAAUCGAUAUGGGUUUUCGAGGUAACCAAUACACUUGGAAGAGAGGAAGAGUGGAGACUUCUUUCGUGGCCAAGAGGUUAGACCGUGUAUUGUGCUGUCCGAACUCGCGACUGAAAUGGCAAGAAGCUACUGUUACGCAUCUUCCUUUUCUAGCGUCGGAUCAUGCUCUGCUUUAUCUGCAAUUGUCACCGACUACAGAGACUAAUGCAAGUAGAAGACCAUUCCGCUUCAAAGCGGCUUGGUUAACGCAUCCUGGGUUUAAGGAUCUUGUGUCGACAUCAUGGGAUAGAGCAAUGAACACCCGUGAGGCGCUGAUCAGUUUGCGUAAGGUAUUAAAGAAAUGGAAUCGAGAAGUUUUUGGGGAGGUGCAGGUGCGGAAACAAAAACUGAUGAUGGAAAUAGAGUUGGUGCAAGAUUCACUUGAUCAUAACCAGACGGAUGCACUCUUGCGGAAGGAGGAAGAGUUGCUCAAAGAGUUUGAUGUAGUCUUAGAACAGGAAGAGCUGAUAUGGUUUCAAAAAUCAAGGAAGAAGUGGGUUGUUCAUGGUGAUCGUAACACAAGCUAUUUUCACACAUCAACGAUUAUAAGACGACGAAGAAAUAGGAUUGAGAUGUUGAAAGAUUAUGAGGGAAGAUGGAUUUCUAAUGGACAGGAACUUGAGAAAUUAGCUGUUGCGUAUUUUACACGGCUUUAUUCUCUAGAUGAUGUGGACCAAGAAGUGAAUAAAUUACCACAGGGAGGCUUUGUGUCUUUAUCAACAGAAGAUCAGAGUGUGUUGAGUAAGCCUUUUACUGCGUUGGAAGUUGAAACUGCAAUUCGAAGUAUGGGGAAAUUUAAAGCGCCAGGCCCGGAUGGCUUUCAACCUGUUUUUUAUCAGCAAUGUUGGGACGUAGUCGGAGAGUCGGUGACUAAAUUUGUUCUUGAUUUUUUUUGUGACGGGACAGUUCCCAGUGGAUACAAAUGAUGCGAUUGUGGUCUUAAUUGGUAAGGUGAUGAAGCCGGAGAAAAUUACUCAAUUUAGGCCGAUAAGCUUGUGUAAUGUACUCUUCAAAGUCAUUACGAAAACAAUGGUGGGGAGAUUGAAAGGCAUUAUGAUGAAGUUGAUAGGGCCUGCGCAGUCGAGUUUUAUUCCGGGAAGGUUGAGUACGGAUAAUAUUGUUGUGGUACAAGAGGCGGUUCAUUCUAUGAGGCGCAAAAAAGGAAGGAAGGGUUGGAUGCUUCUUAAACUUGAUUUGAAGAAAGCAUAUGAUCGUAUAAGGUGGGACUUCCUAGAGGAUACCUUGGUUGCGGCUGGACUCUCGGAGUUGUGGGUGAGUUGGAUAAUGAGAUGUGUUACGGGUCCAUCGAUGAGUUUGUUAUGGAAUGGUGAGCGAACAGAUUCCUUUAAACCAUUGAGAGGGUUGCGUCAAGGUGAUCCUCUAUCUCUGUAUUUGUUUGUCAUGUGUAUGGAAAGAUUAUGUCAUUUGAUCGAGCAAUCAGUUGCUAUUAAAGAUUGGAAGCCGAUAAGUUUGUCACAAGGGGGCCAAAGCUCUCCCAUAUAUGUUUCGCAGAUGACUUGAUUCUGUUUGUUGAAGCAUCCGUCUCACAAAUACGGGUGAUAAGGAAGGUUUUAGAAAGGUUUUGUACGGCCUCGGGACAGAAAGUGAGCCUAGACAAGUCUAAAAUAUUUUUUUCUGAGAAUGUCUCUCGGGACUUGGGAAGAAUGAUUAGCAAUGAAAGCGGGAUUAAGUCGACAAAAGAAUUGGGAAAGUACCUUGGAAUGCCGAUUAUCAGGUUGGAGAGGGAGAAUGUUGAGCUUCGCUGGUAGAAUUACUCUCACAAAAUCUGUGUUAGUUUCGAUUCCGGUGCACUCUAUGAGUACAAUCAAGCUUCCUAUGGCGACAUUGAAUGGACUGGAUAAAGUGUCGUAGGAUUUUAUAUGGGGCAGUAAUCCAGAGAAGCGUAAGCAACACCUGGUUGCAUGGGAUAGAGUUUGCUCCCCGAGAGCAGGAGGGGGUCUUAGGAUCAGGAAAGCAAAUGAUAUGAACAGAGCCUUGGUUGCAAAGAUAGGGUGGAGACUUUUGUCGGAUCGCACUAGUCUUUGGGCAAGAGUUGUGAGAAGCAAGUAUCGGGUUGGAGAGAUUCAGGAUCCAGCUUGGUUGAUUCCUAAGAGUAGUUGGUCUUCUACAUGGCGCAGUGUGGGGACAGGACUGCGGGAGGUGAUACAAAGAGGAUUGAGUUGGGUUAUGGGUGACGGGCGGAGAGUUAAGUUUUGGUCAGAUCGCUGGCUGGGAAAAAGACCACUAAUUGAGAUGGCGAGUGGUGCGAUACCAGAACAGAUGGUGAACCUAACAGUACGUGAUUUAUGGAUCGAUGGGGGAGGCUGGGAUUUUCACAGAAUCUCUCCUUUCUUGUCUGAGAUAAUAAACUUGAGUUAGCAGCAAUGGUGGUGGAUACAGUAACUGGGGCUGCGGACAGAGUGGCUUGGGGUGAGCACCCGAAUGGUCUCUUCACGGUGAGUUCUGCCUAUAAGUUAUUAACAACAGGAGAUGAGCCUAAACAGAACAUGGAGUUAUUUUAUAGAAGAGUGUGGCGGGUGGUGGUACCAGAGCGGGUACGAGCUUUCCUUUGGUUGGUAGGGAAUCAGGCUCUAAUGACAAAUGUGGAGCGGCAUCGACGGCACCUGAGUGACACGGAUAUUUUUCAAGUGUGCAAAGGAGGGGUGGAGACAACUAUACAUAUACUCCGUGACUGUCCAGCAAUGUCGGGUAUAUGGACUAGACUUGUUCCUGUAAGGAAACGACAAGCAUUCUUUGCAAUGUCGUUGCUAGAAUGGUUAUAUGAAAAUUUGGGUGGCGUAGAAGAACGGGAAGGCGGUUCAUGGGCUACGAUUUUUGCGUUAGCUACUUGGUGGGGAUGGAAAUGGAGGUGUGGUAAUGUGUUUGGAGAUACCCGAUUAUGGAGAGAUAGGGUUCAGUUCUUAAAAGAUGCGGCUAAGGAGGUGAGUAUAGCAAAUUCUUUACAUAAAGAUACAAGAGAAGCUGCUGGUCGGGUGGAGAAGAUGAUAGGUUGGGUCGUACCACAAACGGGCUGGUACAAGGUGAACACGGACGGGGCGUCGCGUGGGAACCCGGGGUUGGCUACGGCAGGAGGAGUGGUACGAGAUGAUGCAGGUGGUUAGGUACGCGGAUUUGCAUUGAAUAUUGGUCGCUGCUCGGCAACGUUGGCAGAAUUAUGGGGAGUUUAUUACGGACUCUAUAUAGCUUGGGAGAGAGGAAUUACGCGGUUGGAGCUUGAGGUGGAUUCAGAAUUGGUGGUUGGAUUCUUGACGUCGGGGAUUGGAGACUCUCACCCGUUGUCUUUCCUGGUACGCUUGUGCCAUGGCUUUUUAUCGAAGGACUGGAGGGUCCGGAUUGUUCACGUAUAUAGGGAAGCUAAUCGUCUCGCUGACGGAUUAGCUAACUAUGCGUCAAUGUUAUUCCAUUAGAGUUGGACCCUAUUUUAAGGGAGGAUAUUGAUGGACCGUUGCGUCCACGGCAAGUCUGUAUAUAAUUGUUUUUAGUUAUUUAAUAAAACCCGGGAGAAUUUCUCCCGGUUGCCCACUAAAAAAAACUACAGGGUCAUUAAUUACAUUUUGUUGAUAGGUGGAGACUACGUCAUUGUGAAUCCACUACACCAAUUAAUCAUUGACUUUGGAUUCUUAUCAGAAAAGGAUCCGUGGGUUUAUAUGAAAGGUCGAUUGAUCAUUAAUGAGUAAUUCCAUAACUUAAUUGUCUAUAUUACUCGAUUUUGCAAACUAUUUUCUUCAGUCGAAAAUAGAGAAGAAAGAAAGAAAAAAAAUGUCAAUCUUCUGUACGAUCUCCUUACCCAAUUUCUUUAGUUUCGUGUUGUAUGUCUUCUUUUUUAAAAAUGGACGUUAUAAAAGUCAAAGUCAACUUAAUAAAUAGCAAAAUUUUGUAGAAAACAAAAUGUUAAAAUCUUCUAAAUUUUUUUAUGAUCCAUGUGAGGUAUUGAAAUUACAUAUUAUAUUCGCUCCAUCGGAGUAGGGAUUGGGUUACUACUACCUUUCCUGUAGCAAUUAUAUUUUUUUUUAAAAACUGUAAAUAACAAAUACUUAUAACUUAUAUGAGUUAAGUAUUAUCGUGGUUGUUGCGUGGAAAUGACAUUAUGAUUCGGUAUCAUCAUCUAUACUCAGAGCCAAACCAAAUAUUUUUUUUUUUUUUUUUGUAUGAAUGUAAAAUUUAUUCACAAAAAAAAGACGGUUUUACAAUAAAUGCAACAUCAAACUGAAAAAAUCUGAGUUUUUGAGAGGGAUUAUAAAGAAGGGAAAACUAGCGACUAUGGGUUUGGAACCAAUAUCGCAGUCCGCCUUCAUAAGUGUGUGAGCCCGUCAUAAUUAAGGUGCUCAGCCGGUUACGAACAUUCUUGUCGAUCAGUUUUGCUAGCAUGGAUGCUGGGGUUGGUGACUCGCCGUGUCGUCUCCCAUUCCGUUCUCGCCAUAGACUGUGGAUAGAUAUCUGAAACACAUAUCUCAAAACAAACAAAUGUAGCUUUGAGGUAGAUGGAGCCGUGAGUAAAGGAAGCAGAGUUUCCCAUCGUGUUGUGUUGUGUUGCCCAAGCAUGUCUCGUGUGAGGGCUGACCAGACGUGAGACGAAUACGGACGGAGAAAAAGAGGUGUUCUCUUGUUUCUAUGUUCCCAUCACACAAAUUACAAUCACCAUUUGCUGCAGCAUUCCACUGUAACUGUCUAUCUCCCGUAGCUAAACGAUUACGAAUGGCGAUCCAAGUGAUGAAUGAGUACUUAGGCGUUGAGUGGGGGAACCAUACACCCUUAUACCAUUCACACACCGGAUUAGUGUCUCGUAUCGUAUACCAAGUGUCCUUUGAAAUGAACGUUCCGAGCCAUUGUUCCUUUUCCAAGUGUCCUCAAACCAAAUAUUUAACAAAGAGAUCUAAGCUUACGUGAACAUACAUAGACCAAAAAUUCUAAAUAACCAAACCGGUCUUGCAAAAACGAAUAUAUGAACCGAAAACUUGGUUUAAUUACCGUCUUAUGCUUCCAUGUUUUUAUCUUUUUUGCCAUGGAACCAUGUGUAUAGAUUCCAAAUAUUUGAAUUGUAACAUAAACUUUUUUCAUUAUCUAUGAAAUAUUUACAAUUUAGCAAAAAAAAAAAAAAAAAAAAACUACUGACAGCCCAAAUUAUAUAGUCAACUAUAGAUCAAAGGAUAAAGUCAACUGACGACCAAAAAAAAAAUGAUAAAGUCAACUUUAAAAAUGUCAACGUUGGUAAGAAAACCUUUACGUUUGGCAAAAGAAACGUUAAUAUUAGUUUUUUUUUUAAUGUUGAUAUUAACAAUGUUUAGUGCUAGUCUCUUAAUGAGUCUUUCACCAAAAAAAUUAUAAAAUAAUUAAAAAGUAAAAAAGAGAAUAAAGUGAGUCUCUCAAGUGAGAGACUUAGAGAACUUUGUGAGAGACUCAUUUGAUACAUGUUUCACUAUAAUAGGUUAUAAGUUUUAUUUAUAGUUUAAAUUUUAAAUAAAAAACUAUUAUAUAUAAAAUCUAAUAAAAUAAUAUAUUUGAGAGACUAAUAUGAGUUUUUUCCACUGCAUAUGCUAUUAGUUGCCAAAAGAAGAGAAUAAACUGCCUAAUAAUAUCGACGUAAAAUGAAUACCUCUAAUAUCGACGUAAUAAAAGAAUCAAUAUAACUAUUGUUGGUGUCGGAUCCCGCAGUUCGGAUCCGGCCCGGAAAGAUAGUGGAUCAAUAAGACGAAGUGGGCCGUCGGCCCGGUCCAGGGGACGAAAAGAGCGGCCCAAUAAGUUCAAGCCCAGUUCGAGUAAAACGGCGGGAUCCCACGAGUUAAAUGAAAGGCGGGUUGCACGGGAUGUGCGAGAUCGGGAAGAUUCGAAACGGAAGCAAUAAUGGAGGCGAGAUCUGCGGUUUGAUGAGCGACUUCGGUUUCAAAUCAUGUAAUUAUAAAUAGGAAACGAAAACCAUUGUAUUGGGGAGGAAAUUUUCUUGAGCAAUAAACAGAUACACACAUUUUACUCUCUUGUUUUCUUCUUACGAUUGUUGUUCGAAUUAGCAAGACUAGACGAUCCGAUACACAUCAUAAAAUUUGUAUUGCGGAUUCCGACAUCCACAACUAUUAACAACCCAAAUUGUAAAAUAAACUUUUAUAUUGGUUGUCAAAAGAAUAGAAGAAACUGCCUAUCAAUUUCAAUUUGGAGAAAAUAUUGAACUAAAAUUAUUAGACUAUAGGUCUAAGCAGGAUAGCAAUAAAUUUGAAUGGCGGGCAAUAAUAAUACAUCUAGUUAUAAUAAAUUACAAAAUUUUGGAAAUGUCAUGGAUGCAAUUAAGAUUUAAGGGCCCGAGCAACCCCCUGACACAAAGAUGUAAGCCCAUAUAUAACCAGAAUACAAGUUGUUGUUUGGAUGCUUCGAACAUAUUUCUGUUUAGAUAAUAUACGCCCUUUGUCCCAUUUUAUAAGAUAUUUUGUGUAAAAGCAUAAAGAUUAAAGAAUAAUUAAUGUUUACUUUCUUAUAGGAAUUCAGCCAAUAGAAAAAAAGACUGCAGAAUUUAAAUGGUCAUAACAUACUAAAUAAACAUAAAUUAUGCAUAAAAAUUUGGAAAAAUAUUAUAAAAUAGAACAAAAAAAAAUGCUAAAACAUCUUAUAAUUUGGGACAGAGGGAAUAUUACUCAUGGUGAAGGUGACGAAUCCUUUAAGCUUUAAAGACGUUGAUGACUAUUGUGGCAUAUCAGCUUUGACAAUCAUUGUAUGUAUAUCAUCUAUAGGAGAUAUAGGAUUCAAAGUUUGUUUUCUAGGACAUUUAGCACGAACUUAUAUUAUGUUGUAGUUUUGGUGUGAUGUGAUAUUUUUCGCAGGAAAAUAUAUCGUUGUUAUAUUGUUGAUGUAGCACACUUUUUAAAAGGUACAAUUCAUGAUUAGCUUUGAAAGGGAUUAGUUUUCUAUAUAAUUUUUUUUUUGUCAAUCACAUAUUCAUUAAAAAAAUAACUUCAUGAUUGGUUAAUCAAUUAGGAGAAGAAGAGUUUACAAAAAUAACAUCAGAAAAUAAAAGUCUACAAGAACGGACUAAGCAGUCCGUCUUAAAAAUACAUAAACGAGAAAUAUGAAAAAGCGAGAAGAGGGGAAAAGAGACACGGAGCAAUUCCAAAUCAUCUAGCUGAUUAGAGAAUGCGGGCCAUUCUUUAGGAUACUCUACCAUCGAGACUAACUCAAAGCAAUCUGUUUUAAAUGUCUGACAAUCAAUCCUUCUUGAAAGGAUGUUCCUCAUAGCCCAAAUUAAAACCUCCAACUCCGAGUGAAGAGGGGAGAGACACCUCCGAAGACAUUUUGCACCAAGCAGCAGAGUUUGAUCAGUUCCUUGAAAACACCAUCAUCCUAUACCCAUAGUUGGGUCCAAAGAUUUCUAAGAGCCAUCAAUCCGACACUUUAUAGAUUGUAUUAGGCUUUCCAUAAUAUCCGUUAUAUUGCUAUUUUCCGAAGGUUUCUAUAUAUUUUGAUUUUGGAAACUUAACUUUUUAAAACCAUGAAUUCUUUAGAUAUACAGUAAUUGACAUUGAAUGAAUGAAUGAAUUUACUGACUUUCUUUACUCCUAAUAUGAUUUUGAUCUAUUCAAGUAGAUGAUUAGAUUAUUAUCUUAAGAAAACUACACGUUGCUAGUUGCAACCAAAUAUAUGAUUAAUCCAAGUAAUAGUUAUAUUAUAUAAAUAAACUGUCUAUAUAACUCCCAAUCGAAUCAGAUCAACAAAGAAAAAAAGAAACAGAGUAUCAAAAAAUGUCAAUCUUGCUCUGUUUCCUCUGUCUUUUACCUGUUUUCUUAGUUUCCUUAUCAAUUUUCUCAAUAAAACUCAAACCCUCAAAAUGGAAGCUUCCUCCGGGACCAAAGACGCUCCCGAUCAUCGGAAACUUACACAACCUCAAAGGACUGCCACACACAUGUUUUCGAAAUCUCUCCCAAAAAUUUGGACCAGUGAUGCUUCUCCACUUCGGAUUCGUCCCCGUGGUCGUGAUCUCAUCGAAAGAAGGAGCAGAAGAAGCUCUCAAGACCCAAGAUCUUGAAUGUUGCAGCCGACCAGAGACGGUUGCGACAAGAAUGAUCUCUUACAACUUCAAAGACAUCGGAUUCGCUCCUUACGGUGAGGAAUGGAAAGCGUUGAGGAAGCUCGUGGUUAUGGAGCUUUUGAACACGAAAAAGUUUCAGUCUUUCAGGUAUAUAAGAGAGGAAGAGAAUGACUUGUUAAUCAAGAAGCUAACCGAAUCCGCUCUGACACAAUCCCAGGUGGAUCUGAAGAAGACCCUUUUCACGCUAGUCGCGAGUAUCGUGUGCAGGCUCGCUUUCGGGAUAAAUAUUCACAAGUGCGAGUUCGUAGACGAGGACAACGUUGCGGAUCUAGUUAACAAGUUUGAGAUGCUAGUCGCUGGUGUUGCGUUCACUGAUUUCUUCCCUGGAGUUGGUUGCCUUGUCGACCGGUUCUCAGGUCAGAACAAGACACUGAACAAUGUUUUCUCGGAACUCGACAAUUUCUUCCAAAACGUGCUCGAUGAUCAUCUUAAACCUGGAAGAGAAGUAUCAGAGAGCCCUGAUGUUGUUGAUGUGAUGAUUGAUCUGAUGAAGAAGCAAGAGAAAGAUGGAGAAUCUUUCAAGCUCACAACAGAUCAUCUCAAAGGAAUCAUCUCGGUAAAUCUUCUUCUUAGACCGCAAUACCUCUAAACUCUUGUAAAGAUUUGAACUUACGCGUCUGUGUUUUGUAACAGGACAUAUUUCUUGCAGGAGUAAACACAAGCGCCGUCACUUUAAACUGGGCGAUGGCCGAGCUGAUCAGAAACCCGAGAGUGAUGAAGAAAGUGCAAGACGAGAUUCGGACAACACUUGGGGACAAGA
rnacentral:lncRNA from 1 species